UACGUAGGGCGCAAGCGUUGUCCGGAAUUAUUGGGCGUAAAGAGCUCGUAGGCGGUUUGUCGCGUCUGCUGUGAAAACCUAAGGCUCAACCUUGGGCUUGCAGUGGGUACGGGCAGACUAGAGUGCGGUAGGGGUGACUGGAAUUCCUGGUGUAGCGGUGGAAUGCGCAGAUAUCAGGAGGAACACCCGAUGGCGAAGGCAGGGUCACU
rnacentral:rRNA from 1 species